rnacentral:misc_RNA from 1 species
GAUGAAGAACGUAGUGAAAUGCGAUACGUAAUGUGAAUUGCAGAAUUCAGUGAAUCAUCGAGUCUUUGAACGCACAUUGCGCCCCCUGGUAUUCCGGGGGGCAUGCCUGUCCGAGCGUCAUUACAACCCUCAAGCUCAGCUUGGUGUUGGGCCCCGCCGCCCCGGCGGGCCCUAAAGUCAGUGGCGGUGCCGUCCGGCUCCGAGCGUAGUAAUUCUUCUCGCUCUGGAGGUCCGGUCGUGUGCUCGCCAGCAACCCCCAAUUUUUUUCAGGUUGACCUCGGAUCAGGUAGGGAUACCCGCUGAACUUAAGCAUAUCAAUAAGCGGAGGA